rnacentral:rRNA from 1 species
UACAGAGGUCUCAAGCGUUGUUCGGAUUCAUUGGGCGUAAAGGGUGCGUAGGCGGUCUUCUAAGUUUGAUGUGAAAUUCCGGGGCUCAACCCUGGCAUGGCAUUGAAUACUGGAGGACUAGAGUACCGGAGAGGAAACUGGAAUUUACGGUGUAGCAGUGAAAUGCGUAGAGAUCGUAAGGAAGACCAGUGGCGAAGGCGAGUUUCUGGACGGUAACUGACGCUGAGGCACGAAGGCCAGGGGAGCAAACGGG